rnacentral:rRNA from 1 species
UAGGGAAUCUUCGGCAAUGGGGGCGAACCCUCGACCGAGCAACGCCGCGUGAGUGAAGAAGGUCUUCGGAUCGUAAAACUCUGUUGUUAGAGAAGAACACGAGUGAGAGUAACUGUUCAUUCGAUGACGGUAUCUAACCAGCAAGUCACGGCUAACUACGUGCCAG